rnacentral:rRNA from 1 species
UACGAAGGGUGCAAACGUUGCUCGGAAUUAUUGGGCGUAAAGCGCACGUAGGCGGCCAACUAAGUCGGAUGUGAAAUCCCCAGGCUUAACUUGGGAACUGCAUCCGAUACUGGAUGGCUUGAAUCCGGGAGAGGGAUGCGGAAUUCCAGGUGUAGCGGUGAAAUGCGUAGAUAUCUGGAGGAACACCGGUGGCGAAGGCGGCAUCCUGGACCGGCAUUGACGCUGAUGAGCGAAAGCCAGGGGAGCAAACGGG